GUCUGGGUGGUGUAGUCGGUUAUCACGCUAGUCUCACACACUAGAGGUCUUCCAGUUCGAACCUGGGCUCAGACA
rnacentral:tRNA from 1 species